UUUCUUUCUUUCAUUACCCAAAUAAGCAACCAACUAAUGAACUAACCAACCAAAUACAGUUAUCAAUAUUUUAUUGAUCCUUCUCUUGCUCAGUAAUGUGAGGAGUGUAACAGAUUAAAGUUCCCAAUACCCAGGAGUUCAUAGGACAGCAAGGUAGUCUAGUGAAAAUCUUGAGAAUAAACUGUCAGUUGCGGUAUAUAUACUCAACAUGAGCAUUUCCAAGGCAGUAAGAGUCUCAGUACUUCAUGUCCCUCAUUUCCUUAGGAGCAGUUAAAGAUUUUUAAAAAGCCAAAGAUACUAUUUUUGACCCCUCUCCCAUACAACUCAGGGUGAAUGCAACUCAGGGUGAAUAGAAUAGCAACUAAAAGUUCAAAGAAAUUUAGUUGAGGGCCUUCUUAUUAUAGGAUCUCCAGAUGCCAUAUGGAUAUCUUCAGAAAAGCCUUUUACUUUCCUCGAACUGAUCUGACACCAAUAUCAUGACUUUUCAGCUAACUAAAAUGUUUAAAUAUAAUUACUGAGACCUCUCAGUGCACUCAUUCCUAUUUCUGCUAUAUUUUCAGUGAUGCCUAAAAGACUGAUGACAUAUUCCCAACGAUGAUAUGCUCAAACUCACUUGAUAAGAACAAACUAGACAGUGUUAUGGUAGCAAAAAAUUUAUAACAUCUUAGUGACUUAGCAAAAAAUAAUUUACUUCUCUCCCUUAAAAUCUGCUGCAAGCUAAUAAGACCCUUCUCCAUCUAAUGAGCCAUGAUAUUCUUGUUUUGGCAAUCUCAUUUCAACAUGUAGCCUUUAAGAUCUCCAGAGUAGAGGGAAGAGGGUGUUGGAGGGCCAUGCAUUGUCUCCUAAAUGCCUUGGCUUAGGAGUGAUACAUUUCACUUCUGCUUGUGCCUUAUUGGAUAAAACUAGUCGUCUGCCCUGCUAACUGCAAAGGAAGCUGGGAAAUAUGGAGGAACUCAUGAAAUAUUGAAUUUACCUUAGUGCCUCUUCCAAAGCAUUUUUUUGGGGGGGAGGUGCAAACUAAGAUUUUAAAAGUUUAGAAAAAAUAGAUCAGCAUUCAUUUGCUCAUGCCUUCAAGUAUUCAUCCACUUUAUAAGCACUAAGUAUUCUUUUUAUAAGCACUAAGUAUCUGAUUCUGUAUUGGAUAUGAAAAAUAAAAAUAAUGAAUAGGUCUCAAGCUGUUUAAUGCCUAAUAUAGUAUUGAAAUAAUAUAGAGACAAGAGACUGAUCUAUCUAUUUAUUUUACAAUCUUAGGGGGUAGUAAAACAACAGCUGCUUGAUAAAUGCUUGUCUAAUUAUACCCCUUUAGAUUUUUGCUCAAAUAUUCCCUUCUCCAUGAAGCCUCCCUGAUCAUCUUUUUUACUACUGUUCAAGACUCAAGCAUUCCUUGUCUUUGUUAUAAUCUGGUCUUCUCCAGAGCACUUAUUACAAUAUAUGCUACUUAUUUAUCUAUCAUCUCAUUCCCCAUAAUACACUGUACACUCAAAUAGGGCAAACAUUUUUGUUUUUGAGUCAGUGCUGUUUCAAAGCUUCCACAAUACCUAGAAUACAGUAGGCUCAAUAUAUAUUUAUUGAAUUAUGUGACUGAAGAAAAUGAUCAAAGCAUAAAAGAAGUAGAACUGAUGAAUGAUGAGAUUUUAGGUGAAAGCAUUAUCUUGAAAGGCACAGAGGAUCAGGGAAGGUUUGAUGGUGAGCUAAGUAGCAAAUGUGCAGGUGUGCAUAGAGGCUUUCCAGGAAGAGCCCAUCAUACAUAGUGUUACCAUCAAGAUGAAUGAGUAAGUGGUUGGCUGAGGGCUGGGUGAAUGAAUAUGGGCAGGGGAAAAUUACUCUGUACUCUCCGUGACUACAUACUUUGCUUAUGAGCUCUGAAGUAUGAUGUGAAAGUCUUGUAUUAGAGUCAGUCAUAAAGCAUCAAGAGACUCCCCAUGAUACCAGGAUAGUGGAAUGCUGGAAAAAUGUGCAACUUUCUGUGCCACAGACAAGUGUUGCAGAAACUCUUCAGAGUGAGUAAGCUCAGGGUUGGGAGGUAGAUUACAGGCAUGGUAGCUGUUAUUUUUGUUUAGUUCUUUGUUUUUGAGGGAAUUCAGCUGAAUAAGUGAAGCAGAACAAGAACACACUAAUAGGUUGGCUGGAAAUGAUAGAAACCUAAGUAUCCCUCAAGGCCCAAUACAAAUAUCUCCUCCUUUCCUGAACAUUUCAUUCUCUCUCUCAGGCACAUGUAGCAUCCUCUACAUACUUCUAUUUGGGGUAUAGGUGAAUUUUGCAAAAGUGAAUUAACUGAAUUCUCAGUGUGAAAAGUGAAUGAUUUGUUGAAACUAUAAAUAUACUGACUGUAAUCUAUGACAAGAAUGAAUAGCAGCGCUAUGAGUUUUCAACAAAUUAUCCUGCUUUGUGUGACCUAGUGCCUAAAAUGUAUUUGAUGAUCAAUUAAGUGCUCACCGGCUGAAAUUUGAAACUCAAAUCUGUAGGCAAAAAUAUCUUUAUCAUUGUCUCCUUUGAAAAUAAUUUCCCUAAAUCAGAAGUCUAAACAGCACCAUUCCAUAAGAUAGUAACAUACAUUGAAAAGCACCAAGUAGCAUGUUCAUUUUUUGUUUCUGAUUUAUUUGUUCAUAGACAGUAGAUAUGCAUUAACUGGUUUCAUUUUUACACUAGAAUUCUGUGCCCUUUGUGCAAGAUGUAGAAGUUAAUUGGCAGCUAACUCACUUUGAUGACAACUUUGGUGUGCUUGAGGGACAUAUUUUCGUAAAUUGCCACAUUUUUGAUAGAUUUUACCAUGACUGGUUUACUUAUAGAUUGUUAUUACGCUCCAGUAGGAUUCACUGCCUCUGCUCUGCACAGAUGAUGGGGUAGAAACUCAUGCUCUCUUACUUCUUAGCAACAAUGAUAAUAACAAUGUAUAUGCAGUGUGUGUUUUCACAGCACAGCAAAGAAAGAAGAAACCCAAGAGAGUCCACAUAGUCAUCGGAGCAUUUACUGUGAAACUAGAACAAAGUACUAUAAUUUCAAAGAUGCUGUUAAAGGCAUCUUGCCUUACAGAGAGGCAUUGAAGAACACAUCCAUUAGACAUGAACUUUUGUUAGAUCUGUGAGCAGGCUUCUCUCUAACAGAGGUCAAUAAUGUUGUUUCCAGGCUGCUUUCUCCCUGAAAGCAGUUACCACGGGUUUGCUAAAUCCCAAGGAACUGUACUCCCAGUGGUUGCAUGGAGCCCAAUUCUGAGAGAGCACUGAAUUGGCCUUCAUUUCCAAUCUCUUGCUUAGUGGAGAUUUAGAAGAAUCAUUCCCUUUCCUUCUCGGAGCCUCUAUUUUCUCAUCUUUGCAGAGAUUUAUGAUUAUGUGAAAUUCGGGCUUCCAAUCAAAUUCCUCUUUGAUGACAAUGAAGUCUCAGGUAGGCAGUGUGAUAAGGAAGGGGAUGCUGGAAAAGAGUGAUGUUUCAAGAUGUUAAUGGUACAGUUGUGGGGCAAUUUGGCUUUUCUGAGAAAUGUGUGCAGCCCUACUCAUGCAGGACAUUCUAACUUCUUGAGAGGAGGUAGUGGGAUUGCGCAACAGCUUCUUACUCUAAGUCUCCCAUGUGCAGAAGGUAACCCUGGGCAGGUCAUUUUUCCAUUUAUUCCUUAUUUAGCAAUUAUUGUCAAAGAGUAAACUGUCAUUAUAAUAAACAGCAUUUCACCAUUACAGUUUGCUCUGUAAAGCUUAAUUAAGGAAUAGCUACUUUAUUUGAAAAUUCUAACCAACAAAUGAGUUGCCCAACUACCUGCCUUCUUAAGAAAGGACAAAAGACAUGGUGUAAUCUUUCACAGUAACCAGGGAUCAUUAUUAUGACAAUCCAUUACCAUAGUGGAGUGGUGAUAUAGUUGGAUCAUCAGUCAGCACACCCUGCACCAGGCAUUCCUAUUCUGGGAUCCAUCAAAACAGAGACCCAAGGAUCCCCUACCUGUGUUCCCCAAUUUGUUGACAAGUUCUAGUGUAUUUAUGUUGUAUACAUGUGCAUGAGAAAGAAGUUCACAGUUUCCUCAGACUGUCCACGAUGUCCAUAUCCAAGUUUUUAGGAAAUACUGAACUACGCUAAAGUGCUCACAUAGCAAUGUUCAUAUGACUGAAGACAUGCUUUUAACAGAUUCACCUUCAUCAUUUAGCACAGUGUGGGCACAAAAAUGUAUGGAAAAUAGACUGUGUUUUAAAACACAUGAACUUGGAAAUACACUAGCAGUGCUCUUUCUUAGUGACUGAAAGGAUUUUUCUGCUAAACAGAACAACUGAAUGUAUACUGGGUCACUGAAUAGCAAAAAUCCACAUGUUAACUUUUUGAGAUCUUAUUUCUCUUUUAUAACCUCCUGGCAUUUCCCAUACUAUGUAUUUGCUGCUUUGAAUAUCAUUAGUUAUCUUAUUAUCUAGGAUUUCAAGUAAACUAAACUGUAUAUACUUCCUUAGGUAGAGGCACAAUAUAAUAUCUGGACCUGAUAUUUGAAGCUUCAUUUUUAAAAAUUCAAUUACAAUGUAACUGGAAAGAAUACUGGCAAUUAGCAAUGUAAAACUCAAAAGUAAUUAAUAACCAUAAGCACAUGUCAGAUCCAUAAAAGGCCAGUCCCCACCCCUAGUCACUUUUACCACCUGCCAGACCCUCAAUCUCAGUUAUUAUAUUCCUCUAA
rnacentral:lncRNA from 1 species